rnacentral:rRNA from 1 species
UACGUAGGGGGCAAGCGUUGUCCGGAUUUAUUGGGCGUAAAGAGCAUGUAGACGGCCAAAUAGGUCAGCUGUGAAAACUCGAGGCUCAACCUCGAGACGCCGGUUGAAACCAUCUGGCUAGAGUCCGGAAGAGGAGAGUGGAAUUCCUGGUGUAGCGGUGAAAUGCGCAGAUAUCAGGAAGAACACCCGUGGCUAAGGCGGCUCUCUAGUACGGUACUGACGCUGAGACGCGAAAGCGUGAGGAGCGAACAGG